UGUGCAGCAAAUCUUGAAUGGGACUUACAACAAUUUGAUAUAAAGAAUGCUUUUCACCAUAGAGACUUAUAGGAGGUGUACAUGGAAAUUCCCCCGGGGUUUGAUGAUGAUAGAACGAAAGGGAAAGUUUGUAAGUUAAAAAGGCUCUGUGUGGUUUGAAACAGUUACCCAAAGUAUGGUUUGAUAGAUUCACUAAAGCCAUGAUCUCCUUUUGGAUACUAUCAAAACAAUGCAGAUCAUACUCUAUUUAUG
rnacentral:misc_RNA from 1 species